CUUGUAUUUCACAUGUAUGCCCUAAAGGCACCAAAUCCCCUCUGAUUUUGUAAGCUAAGCAGGGUCAAAACUGGUUAGUAUUUGAAUUGGAGACUGCCAAUGAAUACCAGGAGCUGUAGGC
rnacentral:rRNA from 11 species